rnacentral:lncRNA from 1 species
GGGGGGACCCCUUGGUGGGAAGCAAGUGAUCAGGGUCUCCUGCGGUGAUGAGUUUACCAUUGCUGCCACUGAUGAUAAUCACAUUUUUGCCUGGGGCAAUGGUGGUAAUGGCCGCCUGGCAAUGACCCCCACAGAGAGACCACAUGGCUCUGAUAUCUGUACCUCAUGGCCUCGGCCUAUUUUUGGAUCUCUGCAUCAUGUCCCGGACCUGUCUUGCCGUGGAUGGCAUACCAUUCUCAUCGUUGGUAAGAGUUUCAUAUGUCUGGGGUUGGGAUGGCUUUGACAGAGGAUGGACCCACAUCUGAGUACUGUUAGUCACAUUGUUGGAAACAGAAAUGUCCUGAAGAAGCCAUUUCUGUAAGUCUUGUAAUGGUCAAGGAUGCCAUGCCUAGUGGUGGGAACAGAACAUUGUCAUUUCCUGGAGCUUUGCUAUCUGCCAUCUCUUGAUUAUUUUUUAAUAUAAGUUUGGGCUCUGCCUGCCCCCUUAGAAUUGAUUUUUUUGGUUGUUUUUUUUUGUCUUUUUUUUGAGUUGGAGUUUCACUCUUUUCGCCCAGGCUGGAGUGCUAUGGUGUGAUCUCGGCUCACUGCAACCUCCGCCUCUUGGGUUCAAGCAAAUUCUCUUGCCUCAGCCUCCCAAGUAGCUUGGACUAUAGGUGCCUACCACCACGCCUGACU